UAGGGAAUCUUCGGCAAUGGGGGGAACCCUGACCGAGCAACGCCGCGUGAGUGAAGAAGGUUUUCGGAUCGUAAAGCUCUGUUGUUAAGGAAGAACGAGUGUGAGAAUGGAAAGUUCAUACUGUGACGGUACUUAACCAGAAAGGGACGGCUAACUACGUGCCAGCAGCCGCGGUAAUACGUAGGUCCCGAGCGUUGUCCGGAUUUAUUGGGCGUAAAGCGAGCGCAGGCGGUUAGAUAAGUCUAAAGUUAAAGGCAGUGGCUCAACCAUUGUAGGCUUUGGAAACUGUUUAACUAGAGUGCAGUAGGGGAAAGUGGAAUUCCAUGUGUAGCGGUGAAAUGCGUAGAUAUAUGGAGGAACACCGGUGUCGAAAGCGGCUCUCUGGUCUGUAACUGACGCUGAGGCUCGAAAGCGUGGGCUGCGAACAGG
rnacentral:rRNA from 1 species